rnacentral:rRNA from 1 species
GACGAACGCUGGCGGCGUGCUUAACACAUGCAAGUCGAACGGAAAGGCCCCUUCGGGGGUACUCGAGUGGCGAACAGGUGAGUAACACGUGAGUAACCUGCCCUUGACUUCGGGAUAACUUCAGGAAACUGGGGCUAAUACCGGAUAGGAAUCCUUGCUGCAUGGUGGGGGUUGGAAAGCUUCGGCGGUUUUGGAUGGACUCGCGGCUUAUCAGCUUGUUGGUGGGGUAGUGGCUUACCAAGGCUUUGACGGGUAGCCGGCCUGAGAGGGCGACCGGCCACAUUGGGACUGAGAUACGGCCCAGACUCCUACGGGAGGCAGCAGUGGGGAAUAUUGCACAAUGGGCGGAAGCCUGAUGCAGAAACGCCGCGUGCGGGAUGACGGCCUUCGGGUUGUAAACCGCUUUCAGCAGGGGCGAAGCUUGUGGUGACGGUACCUGCAGAAGAAGCACCGGCUAACUACGUG